AUUAGGAGACUAGGUCACAGGGGAACAGGCUUACUAAAAACACAGUGAAAACUAGACCCUAAACAUAACCCUAACAGUAGCAAAAGGUAUUUCCGUCACACAAUUGUAAUCCCAUUAUCACCCUUAUGAAAACAGGAUAGCGAAAAUCCAUCGAACCUUUGAUAAAGGGGGAGGACGGAAGCUUCACAUGACCAUAAAAACCAUACGGACAGGAGAGCUGACCAGGUGUGAGGGUUACCACGACAACCUCAAAGAGAGAGAGAGAGCCAGUGUUUACAGGCUGUUUGACGUCAGAGAGAUUCUUAAUCUGUGGAAAUAAGGAGGAUGCAGUUUAGCUCAAAAUAUCACAGCUUCACCUGAAUCACAUGCACGUUUUAGAAGACUACAGUGUGGUAGGUUAUUGGUCAUUGAUCACACACUAUUGUACUCCUUGACUGAUAUUUCUGUGUGAAUCAUUUAUAUAGAGUCAAUAUCUCUUGAAGAUGAAUGAAGAAAACAAGUAAAACAGUAUUGAUAUGUGUCCGGUAUCAGUGAGGAUUUUAGCCACACAUGGACAAAGAUUCUUGCUGAUAAUCAGCGUCAGUAACAUUAAUGUCUGUCUGUCUCAUCACGUCAU